AUCAGGAAGAUAGUUAGUAGGUAUCAGAAAUGCACGUUUUCCAACCAUGUAGAGCUUUCUUAUGAAGAUCCAACCACAUAUCAGUUGCACUAAUGAGAGACCAAGACAAGGCAAACCCAAAAUGAUCCUUCUUCCGGUAUUCAGCCAACUGUUAAAUCUUUGAAGGUGAACGGAAGCAUGACAGUUGGGGUAAGAGAAAGCCGCUGUGAGACCUAGUCCGUGUUUUCUUUUCCAUGUUUUGAAUAAUAAUAUUUCUUCUUUUUUUGUGCUGGCCACA
rnacentral:lncRNA from 1 species